rnacentral:rRNA from 1 species
UACGGAGGUGCGAAGCGUUAAUCGGAAUCACUGGGCGUAAAGCGCUCGUAGGCUGUUUGGUAAGUCAGAUGUCGAAAGCCCUCGGCUUAACCGGGGAACUGCAUUUGAUACGUGCCAGACUUGAGUGUCGGAGAGGUGCGGAAUUCCGGGUGUAGGAGUGAAAUCCGUAGAUAUCCGGAGGAACACCAGUGGCGAAGGCGGCCACCUGGACGACAACUGACGCUGAGGAGCGAAAGCGUGGGGAGCAAACAGGAUUAGAAACCCUAGUAGU